rnacentral:rRNA from 1 species
CCCGGGCCUUGUACACACCGCCCGUCACACCACGAAAGGUGUUUGCACCAGAAGUCGUUUAUCCCAACCUUCGGGAGGGAGACGCCUAAGGUGUGAACAUUGAUUGGGGUG